GGUACUUUAUUAUUAAACUUUUUCUCGGUGAACUAUUCCGUGAAUAUAGAAGGUGCAGUGAAUAGUUGAGCAGCCUUACUUUCCGAAAGUUUUCUAUCCGCCGAAAGUUUUCGUCAGCGAGCCUCUACUUUUUCUGUCCAGUGUAAUAGUUUGCCGUGUUUUACAAUAAGUGGAAGUAGUAUUUGUCACUCGUGUCGGUUGUCAUCGUGCGAAUUUUCGGUAGUGUCUUUUCAUCGAUAUUUCUGUGAAACUUGAUUUGAGAAUAUAGUUUCGGAAGUCAUUUUGCUCACGUAUAUUCCUCAGCGUUGAUUCGGCAACAUUCGAGAAGGGGAUGAACGAGGAUGGAAAUCUUCACCCUCCGCAUCAGAGCUGUUCCUGACCUUGCAGAUCAUCGCUUCUUCACG